AACGCACCUUGCGCCCUUUGGUAUUCCGAAGGGCAUGCCUGUUUGAGUGUCAUUAAAUUCUCAACCUUGCAAGCUUUUUUGCUAGCGAGGCUUGGAUGUGAGGGCUUUUGCUGGCUUCCUUCAUUUGGAUGGUCUGCUCCCUUUAAAUUCAUUAGUGGAUUCCUUUGUGGAUGGUCACUUGGUGUGAUAAUUAUCUACGCCGCCUGACUCUGAAACAAGACUUGUGGGGACCUGCUCAUAACCGUCUCUUCAAGAGACAAUCUUUAUUGACAAUUUGACCUCAAAUCAGGUAGGACUACCCGCUGAACUUAA
rnacentral:misc_RNA from 3 species